AAAAAAAAAGACACCUGCCUAGGGCAGGUGCUGUGGUCUGCCUUGUAUCAGGAUCGUUGGUACAUGUUUGUCUGGCCUGCAUACAAUCAGGAGCCUCUGGGGGCAGCGAUAUUGAACUCACCUUUGCAUCCCUCUAGAGUACCUUUGGAGAGUCUUGCAUAUAACAGUUCCUCAGUGACAGCUAAAUUUAAAAGAAUUGCUUGCUAUGGCCCCAGGACUCCUGGAAGAUGAUAUGUGGCAAUAACUGUCACCCAGAGCCACCAAAGCACUUCACCUGCCCUGCCUUGUAGCCUGCCCUGCC
rnacentral:lncRNA from 10 species